GACGUAGGGCGCGAGCGUUGUCCGGAUUUAUUGGGCGUAAAGAGCUCGUAGGCGGCUUGUCGCGUCGACUGUGAAAUCCCGCGGCUCAACUGCGGGUCUGCAGUCGAUACGGGCAGGCGUAGAGUUCGGUAGGGGGACGUGGAAUUCCUGGUGUAGCGGUGAAAUGCGCAGAUAUCAGGAGGAACACCGGUGGCGAAGCGGCAUCCUGGACCAAUUCUG
rnacentral:rRNA from 1 species